UACGGAGGGAGCUAGCGUUGUUCGGAAUUACUGGGCGUAAAGCGCGCGUAGGCGGCUUUGUAAGUUAGAGGUGAAAGCCCGGGGCUCAACCCCGGAACUGCCUUUAAGACUGCAUCGCUUGAAUCCGGGAGAGGUGAGUGGAAUUCCGAGUGUAGAGGUGAAAUUCGUAGAUAUUAGGAAGAACACCAGUGGCGAAGGCGGCUCACUGGCCCGGUACUGACGCUGAGGCGCGAAAGCGUGGGGAGCAAACAGG
rnacentral:rRNA from 1 species